rnacentral:rRNA from 1 species
AGAGUGAACGCUGGCGGUAGGCCUAACACAUGCAAGUCGAACGGCAGCACAGUAGGAGCUUGCUCUUACGGGUGGCGAGUGGCGGACGGGUGAGGAAUACAUCGGAAUCUACCUUUUGGUGGGGGAUCACGUAGGGAAACUUACGCUAAUACCGCAUACGCCCUUCGGGGGAAAGCCGGGGACCAGCAAUGGCCUGGCGCUGAUAGAUGAGCCGAUGUCGGAUUAGCUAGUUGGUGAGGUAAUGGCUCACCGAAGGCGACGAUCCGUAGCUGGUCUGAGAGGAUGAUCAGCCACACUGGAACUGAGACACGGUCCAGACUCCGUAGGGAGCAGC